GGGGGUGUUUUUGGAUUCGCCUGUGUGGGGAAGGCUUUAGAAGCGGGUCGAGGACUCCUUUCACUCGUAAAACACUGGUAACUAAAAAUUAUCUGCAAACGAUAAUAAUUACGCUUUAGCUGCCGCUUAAGGCAACUAACACUUAAAUGUCUUUUUGUCUGUGAAGGUGUUUAAGUGUCAUAACUAACAGACUACCCUCCAUCUGAUGUCGGUAAGAAGGAACGGGAAAUUGACCGGCUAGUAGCAUUAAACCCUGUCUGUUGGGGGUAGUGUUAUGAACAAUAAAAACAGACUACACUCGUAGAAACUAAAGUAUGAGCCAGGCAGUACGUGGGUUCGAAUCCCACCACCUCCACCA
rnacentral:tmRNA from 1 species